rnacentral:rRNA from 1 species
AGUGAACGCUGGCGGUAGGCCUAACACAUGCAAGUCGAACGGCAGCACAGUAAGAGCUUGCUCUUACGGGUGGCGAGUGGCGGACGGGUGAGGAAUACAUCGGAAUCUACUUUUUCGUGGGGGAUAACGUAGGGAAACUUACGCUAAUACCUCAUACGACCUACGGGUGAAAGCAGGGGAUCUUCGGACCUUGCCCGAUUGAAUGAGCCGAUGUCGGAUUAGCUAGUUGGCGGGGUAAAGGCCAACCAGGGCAACGAUCCUUAGCUGGUCUGCGAGGAUGACCGGCAAAACUGGAACUGAGACACGGUCCAGACUCCUACGGGAGGCAGAGGGGGGGAAUAUUGGACAAUGGGCGCAAGCCUGAUCCAGCCAGACCGGGGGGGUGAAGAAGGCUUUCGGUUUGUAAAGGCCUUUUGUUGGGAAAGAAAAGCAGCAGGUUAAGACCCCGCUGUUCUGACGGUACCCAAAGAAUAAGCACCGGCUAACUUCGU